CUGGUUCGCUGUCAAUGCCGUUUCCGUGUCGGACUGUAGGUUAAUUUCCACGUGCAGUGCUGUCUAGAAUGUAACAAAUUAAUUGAUGCGGGAUUGAGGGCUGCGCCACCCGAACGAGGUAACCAACAGAACCUGCGGGCCCCUUAUGGUUAACGUAGGCCGGAGCACUGUGCCCCAGGUUCAGGCAGGACGGGGCGACGGGAAGAUACUACGGAGGUGUACUUCGUAUAAAACCAGGAGUCACGCUCCGAUUUCGUUUUGGAAGACACGGACAGUAACCCGUUCGCUAGGGAGUACACCUAGGAACUGGAAUUACUCGGGGAAUUGGGAACUGGUCAGAGUAAUAAAGGUAACAGCUUGCACGUUUAAUAAAGGGUUGAAAGAUU